UACAGAGGGGGCAAGCGUUGCUCGGAAUUACUGGGCGUAAAGGGCGCGUAGGCGGCCUUCUAAGUCGAACGUGAAAUCCCCGGGCUCAACCCGGGAACUGCGUCCGAUACUGGAAGGCUUGAAUCCGGGAGAGGGAUGUGGAAUUCCAGGUGUAGCGGUGAAAUGCGUAGAUAUCUGGAGGAACACCGGUGGCGAAGGCGGCAUCCUGGACCGGCAUUGACGCUGAGGAGCGAAAGCCAGGGGAGCAAACGGG
rnacentral:rRNA from 1 species